rnacentral:lncRNA from 1 species
GCUUCCGGUUCUGACGGACGCUUCGGCCGUAACGAUGAUCGGAGACAUCCUGCUGUUCGGGACGUUGCUGAUGAAUGCCGGGGCGGUGCUGAACUUUAAGCUGAAAAAGAAGGACACGCAGGGCUUUGGGGAGGAGUCCAGGGAGCCCAGCACAGGUGACAACAUCCGGGAAUUCUUGCUGAGCCUCAGAUACUUUCGAAUCUUCAUCGCCCUGUGGAACAUCUUCAUGAUGUUCUGCAUGAUUGUGUGAGUCCAGCCUGCCCUUUCCUUUCACUGUCGUCUCUUAGUCUCCUUCUCCAGGGUGACCCACCUGAUGGUCAUUCUCUGUCUUUUCAGUCAUCACUCUUGUAUCCUGGUUUCUGUUUUCUUUAUUUUUUGUUUUGUUUGAGAUGGAAUCUUGCUCUGUCGCCUAAACUGGAGUGCAGUGGUGCGAUCUGGGCUCACUGCAACCUCGGCCUCUUAGGUCUAAGCGAUUCUCCUGCCUCAGCCUCCCGAGUAACUGGGACUACAGGUGCGUGCCACCACACACGGCUGAUUUUUUGUAUUUUUAGUAGAGACGGGGUUCCAUCGUGUUAUCCAGGAUGGUCUUGAUCUCCUGACC